rnacentral:rRNA from 1 species
CAGUAACGGCGAGUGAAGCGGCAAGAGCUCAAAUUUGAAAGCUGGCUCCUUCGGGGUCCGCAUUGUAAUUUGCAGAGGAUGCUUCGGGAGCGGUCCCCAUCUAAGUGCCCUGGAACGGGACGUCAUAGAGGGUGAGAAUCCCGUAUGGGAUGGGGUGUCCGCGCCCGUGUGAAGCUCCUUCGACGAGUCGAGUUGUUUGGGAAUGCAGCUCUAAAUGGGUGGUAAAUUUCAUCUAAAGCUAAAUAUUGGCCGGAGACCGAUAGCGCACAAGUAGAGUGAUCGAAAGAUGAAAAGCACUUUGAAAAGAGAGUUAAAAAGCACGUGAAAUUGUUGAAAGGGAAGCGCUUGCGACCAGACUCGCUCGCGGGGUUCAGCCGGCAUUCGUGCCGGUGUACUUCCCCGCGGGCGGGCCAGCGUCGGUUUGGGCGGUCGGUCAAAGGCCCUCGGAAGGUAACGCCCCCAGGGGCGUCUUAUAGCCGAGGGUGCAAUGCGACCUGCCUAGACCGAGGAACGCGCUUCGGCUCGGACGCUGGCAUAAUGGUCGUAAACGACCCGUCUUG